rnacentral:rRNA from 1 species
AUUGAACGCUGGCGGCAGGCCUAACACAUGCAAGUCGAACGCGUGGCGGACGGGUGAGUAAUGUCUGGGAAUCCGCACGAUGGUGGGGGAUAACUUCUGGAAACUGUAGCUAACCCCGCACACCAGCGGCUGUGCCCAGAUGGGAUUAGCUAGGAGGUGGGGUAACGGCUCACCUACGCGACGAUCCCUAUCUGGUAUGAGAGGAUGACCAGCCACACUGGAACUGAGACACGGUCCAGACUCCUACGGGAGGCAGCAGUGGGGAAUAUUGCACAAUGGGCGCAAGCCUGAUGCAGCCAUGCCGCGUGUAUGAAGAAGGCCAUCGGGUUGUAAAGUACUUUCAGCGAGGAGGCGUUACUCGCAGAAGAAGCACCGGCUAACUCCGUGCCAGCAGCCGCGGUAAUUC